GACGAACGCUGGCGGCGUGCUUAACACAUGCAAGUCGAACGGAAGGGCCCUGCUUUUGUGGGGUGCUCGAGUGGCGAACGGGUGAGUAACACGUGAGUAACCUGCCCUUGACUUUGGGAUAACUUCAGGAAACUGGGGCUAAUACCGGAUAGGAGCUCCUGCUGCAUGGUGGGGGUUGGAAAGUUUCGGCGGUUGGGGAUGGACUCGCGGCUUAUCAGCUUGUUGGUGGGGUAGUGGCUUACCAAGGCUUUGACGGGUAGCCGGCCUGGGAGGGUGACCGGCGACAUUGGGACUGAGGUACGGCCCAGACUGGUACGGGAGGCAGCAGUGGGGAAUAUUGCCCAAUGGGAGGACGCCUGAUGCAGCAACGCCGCGUGCGGGAUGACGGCCUUCGGGUUGUAAACCGCUUUCGCCUGUGACGAAGCGUGAGUGACGGUAAUGGGUAAAGAAGCACCGGCUAACUACGUG
rnacentral:rRNA from 1 species